AUACCUCUGUCCUCAUAUCAAUAAUACAUACGUCUGAACUUCUCAUUAUUCUUCUCUUCUGUUUUCCGCUUCUCUGCAUAACUUUGUUUCUAGCAUUUCAAGUGCUAUCAGUGGUAUCAGAGCAUCGUGAUAGAUGGAGAAGAACCUACGAAGGAAGAACAAAAAGAAGAAUUUCAGAGGAAGGAUGACAAAACACUGAAUAUCAUUCAUCAGUGUGUAGACGACACACACUUUGAGAAGAUCCAAACGCAAAUACGACAAAGGAAGCAUGGAGUAUUUUGUGUCGAUGCCAUGCUGGUGAUGAAAAGAUCAAGAAAGUUCGACUUCAUAACUUGAGACGACAAUGAGUUACUGCAAAUGCAAGAUGAUGAGAAGAUCUGUGAGUAUUUUAACAAGAUUGUGACGUUAACGAAUCAGAUGAAAAGCUGUGGAGAGAAGAAGCUCGAUGAUGUGUCGAUUAUGGAAAAGAUAAUGAGAUCUUUACCUAAGAGAUUUAACUUCAUUGUAGUAGCUAUUGAGGAAUCAAAAGAUCAGGAGAAAUUAAAGAUUGAAGAGCUUCAGAGCUCUCUGGAGGCUCACGAAAUGAAGCUCUAUGACCA
rnacentral:lncRNA from 1 species